rnacentral:rRNA from 1 species
AACGAACGCUGGCGGCAGGCUUAACACAUGCAAGUCGAACGCCCCGCAAGGGGAGUGGCAGACGGGUGAGUAACGCGUGGGAAUCUACCCAGAUCUACGGAACAACAGUUGGAAACGACUGCUAAUACCGUAUACGCCCUACGGGGGAAAGAUUUAUCGGAUUUGGAUGAGCCCGCGUUGGACUAGCUAGUUGGUGGGGUAAUGGCCUACCAAGGCGACGAUCCAUAGCUGGACUGGGAGGAUGAUCAGCCACACUGGGACUGAGACACGGCCCAGACUCCGACGGGAGGCAGCAGUGGGGAAUAUUGGACAAUGGGCGCAAGCCUGAUCCAGCCAUGCCGCGUGAGUGAUGAAGGCCUUAGGGUUGUAAAGCUCUUUCACCGAUGAAGAUAAUGACGGUAGUCGGAGAAGAAGCCCCGGCUAACUUCGUGCCAGCCGCCGCCGUAAGAC